rnacentral:rRNA from 1 species
AUGAAAAUCUUAAGUUGGAACUGCCGCGGGAUAGCCGAUCCCACGACAGUCCGUGAGCUACAUGAUCUUGUGGAGAUCAGUUCGCCAUCUAUAAUGUGUUUAGUUGAAACCCAAUUACAAAAGAGUCGUGUUGAAGGUUUGUGUAUGUCUUUAGGUUAUGAUUUCAGUUUUGGUGUCGGUAGUAGUGGCCGCAGUGGUGGACUUUGUAUUUUUUGGAAAAAUUCCUUAGAUGUUUCAAUAAAGAACUAUUCAGAGUAUCAUGUGGAUGCCUGGGUCACAAAACCGGGUAAGGAGCAAUGGAGGUUAACAUGUUUUUUUGGUGAAGCUACCAGGAGUCUAUGGUAUAAAACCUGGGACACCAUGAAGCGUUUGAGGGGAGAGAGCACACUCCCAUGGAUGUGUAUUGGGGAUUUUAAUGAGAUCUUGAGGCCAGAAGAGUUGGUCCUAAUGAGCGUGAUAGCUCGCAGAUUGAUGCCUUCAGAGAAGAUAUUGAUGUAUGUGGAUUAG